CCUCAAAUGUAAAUGGUCUAAAUGCCCCAAUUAAAAGGCACAGAGUGACAAGCUGGAUAAAGAAGCAAGACCCAAUGGCAUGCUGUCUUCAAGAGUCCCAUCUCACGUGCAAUGACACUUAGAGGCUCAAAAUAAAGGAAUGAAGAAAAU